rnacentral:rRNA from 1 species
GAUGAACGCUGACAGAAUGCUUAACACAUGCAAGUCAACUUGAAUUUGGGUUUUUAACUUAGGUUUGGGUGGCGGACGGGUGAGUAACGCGUAAAGAACUUGCCUCACAGCUAGGGACAACAUUUGGAAACGAAUGCUAAUACCUAAUAUUAUGAUAAUAGGGCAUCCUAUAAUUAUGAAAGCUAUAAGCGCUGUGAGAGAGCUUUGUGUCCCAUUAGCUAGUUGGAGAGGUAACGGCUCACCAAGGCGAUGAUGGGUAGCCGGCCUGAGAGGGUGAUCGGCCACAAGGGGACUGAGACACGGCCCUUACUCCUACGGGAGGCAGCAGUGGGGAAUAUUGGACAAUGGACCGAGAGUCUGAUCCAGCAAUUCUGUGUGCACGAUGAAGUUUUUCGGAAUGUAAAGUGCUUUCAGUUGGGAAGAAACAAAUGACGGUACCAACAGAAGAAGUGACGGCUAAAUACGUG